UGAAAAGUUGAACCUGCCUCCCAAACUUUCUCCUGUAGUCCAGACGGGGACGCCCUGAGGGAGCGUUUGUGUCAGUAAUGGGAAAUCUGCAAGCUAGACGGAAAUGACCUGCUAGUGAUUGCGCUGUAAAGAAGCCGGAAUCCACCUCGUGAAGGCAUGAAGUUCAGGUGCUGGACACUUUUUGAUUAUCUUUUGCUCAUACAAAAAAAAAAUGAACCACUGGACACAAUGGCUUCUGCUAGUAAUCCCAACACUUUGGGAGGCUGAGACAGGAGGAUCGCUUGAGGCCAGGAGUCAGAGACAAACCUGGGCAACAUAGUGUGAUUCCAUCUUUACAAAAAAAAUUUUUUUAACUUAGCUGGGCAUGGUUGUGUACACCUGUAGUCCCAGCUAUAUGGGAGGUUGAGAUGGAAGGAUUGGUUAAGCCCAGGAGUUUGAAUUUGCAGUGAACUAUGGUCAUGCCACGGCAUUCCAGCCUGGAUGACAGAGUGAGACUCUGAAUCUGACUAAAAAGAAAAAAAAAAAAAAA
rnacentral:antisense_RNA from 1 species